rnacentral:misc_RNA from 1 species
UUUCCGUAGGUGAACCUGCGGAAGGAUCAUUAUUGUAUAACCGAGGUGCGAGGGCUGUCGCUGACCCGAAAGGUCGUGCACGCCCGUGUGCCCUCACACACAUCCAUCUCACCCCUAUGUGCACCACCGCGUGGGUCCCCCUUUGGCUUGUUCGGAGGGGGGCUUACGUUUUCACACAAACUUUGUAUGCAGUGUAGAAUGUAUUUUUUGUUUUUGCGAUCACGCAAUCAAUACAACUUUCAACAACGGAUCUCUUGGCUCUCGCGUCGAUGAAGAACGCAGC